GACUAGAAGGUGGGCAGAGCAGAACCUGGCUGGGAAAAAAGACGUGGGAACUGUGCAUAGAAAGGAUCCAGUCCAGAGUGUCUAAAUCCUCCUCUCCUCUACCAGCAUGCUGAGCCAGUGUGGACACUCUGGAAGCCUGGGACCUGGUGAGCUGGCUGAUUCCUGGCGUGUUUCCUGGUGAUCCCCACCAAAGUCUUGCCCUUGAUAUUGUCACGUUGGAUUCAAGAAACGUAUGGAAGAGGACAGACAGGAAGGCCAUUUGUAAAUGUUUCAAAUGUGAAUUUUCAAUGU